rnacentral:rRNA from 1 species
GACGGGGGCUGCAAGCGUUAUCCGGAAUCACUGGGCGUAAAGCGUCUGUAGGUGGUGAUGCAAGUCACUGGUGCAAAACUCUGGCUCAACCGGAGGAAAGCCAGUGAAACUGCAUGACUAGAGUGUGGGAGAGGUAGAAGGAAUUCCCUGAGUAGCGGUGAAAUGCGUAGAGACAGGGAAGAACACCGGAGGCGAAAGCGUUCUACUGGAACACAACUGACACUGAGAGACGAAAGCUAGGGGAGCGCAUGGG